UCUUCAUGGACCUCCUUGCC
rnacentral:miRNA from 1 species